AUAACCUCGGGAAACUGAGGCUAAAAUCCAAUACGAGAUUUUCUCUGGAAAGAGUUUUCUCUGAAACGCAAGGUCUAAGGAUGGGGCUGCGAUUGAUUAGGUUGUUGGCGGGGUAAAAGCCCACCAAGCCGAUGAUCAGUAGGGGCUCUUAGCGGAGUCGCCCCGAGAGGAAAUCUGAGACACUAUUUCCAGCUCUACGGAGUGCAGCAGUCGCGAAUCUUUUGCAAUGCGCGCAAGCGUGACAAAGCGAACCAAAGUGCUUUCCGCACAGGAAAGCUUUUCUCUGCUGUAAAAAGGCAGGGGAAUAAGGACUGGGCAAGACCGGUGCCAGCCGCCGCGGUAAUCCCGGCAGUCCAAGUCGCAGCCAACAUUAUUGGGUCUAAAACAUCCGUAGCUUGCUUAUUAAGUUCCUUGUGAAAUCCUAUGUCUCAAGCAUGGGGCUUGCGGGGAAUACUGAUAAGCUAGAGACCGGAAGAUGCAAAGAGUACACUUAAGGCAGUGGUAAAAUACGUUAAUCUUAGGUGGACUAACAAUUGGCGAAGGCACUUUGCAAGUACGGAUCUGACAGUGAGGGAUGAAGGCUAGGGGCGCAAAAUGGAUUAGAUACCCAUGUAGUCCUAGCAGUAAACACUGCUCACUAAACAUCGGUCUCUCUUCGGGAGAAAUCGGUGCUGCAGCGAAGGCGAAGAGUGAGCUACCUGGGAAGUAUAGUCGCAAGAUCGAAACUUAA
rnacentral:rRNA from 1 species